GGGGAGUGGUGGGCAUUGUCAGUUAGG
rnacentral:piRNA from 1 species